rnacentral:rRNA from 1 species
UACGUAGGUGGCAAGCGUUGUUCGGAAUUAUUGGGCGUAAAGGGCGCGUAGGCGGUUUGUUAAGUCAGCUGUGAAAGCCCGGGGCUCAACCCCGGAGAGUCGACUGAUACUGGCAAACUAGAGUACGGAAGAGGUAGCUGGAAUUCCCGGUGUAGUGGUGAAAUGCGUAGAUAUCGGGAGGAACACCAGUGGCGAAAGCGGCUACCUGGCCCAUUCUUGACGCUGAGGCGCGAAAGCUAGGGGAACAAACGGG